rnacentral:rRNA from 1 species
CCUACGGGAGGCAGCAGUGGGGAAUAUUGCACAAUGGGGGAAACCCUGAUGCAGCGACGCCGCGUGAGUGAAGAAGUAAUUCGUUACGUAAAGCUCUAUCAGCAGGGAAGAAACACUGACCUUACGGUCAGCAGACGGUACCUGAGUAAGAAGCCCCGGCUAACUACGUGCCAGCAGCCGCGGUAAUACGUAGGGGGCAAGCGUUAUCCGGAUUUACUGGGUGGAAAGGGAGCGUAGACGGGGCGCCAAGUCUGGAGUGAAAUGCCGCAGCUUAACUUGGGAACUGCUUUGGAAACUGGCGAACUAGAGUGCGGGAGGGGUAAGCGGAAGUCCUAGUGUAGCGGUGAAAUGCGUAGAUAUUAGGAGGAACACCGGUGGCGAAGGCGGCUUACUGGACCGUAACUGACGUUGAGGCUCGAAAGCGUGGGGAGCAAACAGGAUUAGAUACCCCUGUAGUC